rnacentral:rRNA from 1 species
GACGAACGCUGGCGGCGUGCCUAAUACAUGCAAGUAGAACGCUGAAGGAGGAGCUUGCUUCUCUGGAUGAGUUGCGAACGGGUGAGUAACACGUAGGUAACCUGCCUGUUAGCGGGUGAUAACUAUUGGAAACGCUAGCUCAUACCGCAUAAGAGUAUUUGUUGCAUGUCAUUUGCUUAAAAGGUGCAAUUGCAUCACUACCAGUUGGACCUGCGUUGGAUUAUCUAGUUGGUGGGGUAACGGCUCACCAAGGCGACGAUACAUAGCCGACCUGAGAGGGUGAUCGGCCACACUGGGACUGAGACAAGGCCCAGACUCCUAAGGGAGGCAGCAGUAGGGAAUCUUCGGCAAUGGAGGGAAGGCUGACCGAGCAAAGCCGGGUGAGGGAAGAAGGUUUUCGGAACGUAAAGCUCUGUUGUAAGAGAAGAACGAGUGGGAGAGUGGAAAGUGCACACUGUGACGGUAUCUUACCAGAAAGGGACGGCUAACUACGUG